UUAAAAGUAGAUUUAAUGUCAGGGAUAUCAAGUUUUAUUGUUAUUGGGUGAACCUCUGUUUGUUUUUUGUGACCGAAGGUUCAGUAAAUGAUGAAACAUUU